rnacentral:rRNA from 1 species
GUAACAAGGUUUCCGUAGGUGAACCAGCGGAGGGAUCAUUACUGA